AACGAACGCUGGCGGCAUGCCUAACACAUGCAAGUCGAACGAGGUCUUCGGGUCUAGUGGCGCACGGGUGCGUAACGCGUGGGAAUCUGCCCUUUGGUUCGGAAUAACAGUUGGAAACGACUGCUAAUACCGGAUGAUGACGAAAGUCCAAAGAUUUAUCGCCAGAGGAUGAGCCCGCGUAGGAUUAGCUAGUUGGUGUGGUAAAGGCGCACCAAGGCGACGAUCCUUAGCUGGCCUGAGAGGAUGAUCAGCCACACUGGGACUGAGACACGGCCCAGACUCCUACGGGAGGCAGCAGUGGGGAAUAUUGGACAAUGGGCGAAAGCCUGAUCCAGCAAUGCCGCGUGAGUGAUGAUGGCCUUAGGGUUGUAAAGCUCUUUUACCCGGGAUGAUAAUGACAGUACCGGGAGAAUAAGCUCCGGCUAACUCCGUGCCAGCAGCCGCCGUAA
rnacentral:rRNA from 1 species